GCAGAAGUUCACUGAGGUUCGAGGAGGAAGUGAAGGAGUCUGUAGGCACCUCCCAUAGUUUACUCCCAGUUCCAGCCACGAGCACAGCUACAGAGGGAGGGAAAGUCAGAGAACUAUGCACUUGGGGGGGAACAUCACCUGUCGAGCCUCCAGUUGAUCAGGGAGUUGGUUGUUGAGCCACAGAUCAGUUUGUCCUUUUAUGACUGAGCAGAUGGAGUUCAAGGGAAAUGGUGGAGGAUGAAACCCUCCAAACUGUCCCUGAAGGGCCCAUGUCCUGCUGGCCCACCUCCCCCUCCACUAAUUACUGCCCCCUCCUCUGAUGAAAAAGCCAUGAUGUUUAUGGCUCAUUUCUCCUGGAUGGAUUUCAGAUUCCUCCCUUCUUUUCUUUGUGCCUUUGUUUCAUUUUUUCCUCCCUCUGUGUGUCUCUCAUUGGUUGAUGAGGUGAAUGAAGUUGGUCCGGAGGAGUAGGCGUUGGAGGAGGGUGGGGUGAGGUGCCUUCAUGGUUCAGUAUGACAAGAUUAGUGAGGUGCGUGUGUGUGUGUGUGUGUGUGCAUGCUACAGUUGCUCACAGCUCUUGCUUAUUCCACAUUUUUAGGUGACAGAUGACUUUUCAGGCACUCUGGAUUGUCCUCCACUUUUUAGAUGGGUCUUGCAAGACACUGAUUCCCAUAUUUAUUUAUUUAUUGGCUUGUAAGCCCUUACACUGUAAGACUGUCUAUUUGUAACCCCUCACCACAAUGUGCACAUGCCUUCACAAUAAAUUGUGAGAACUGA